GCAGUCGAGCGAAUGGAUUAAGAGCUUGCUCUUAUGAAGUUAGCGGCGGACGGGUGAGUAACACGUGGGUAACCUGCCCAUAAGACUGGGAUAACUCCGGGAAACCGGGGCUAAUACCGGAUAAUAUUUUGAACUGCAUGGUUCGAAAUUGAAAGGCGGCUUCGGCUGUCACUUAUGGAUGGACCCGCGUCGCAUUAGCUAGUUGGUGAGGUAACGGCUCACCAAGGCAACGAUGCGUAGCCGACCUGAGAGGGUGAUCGGCCACACUGGGACUGAGACACGGCCCAGACUCCUACGGGAGGCAGCAGUAGGGAAUCUUCCGCAAUGGACGAAAGUCUGACGGAGCAACGCCGCGUGAGUGAUGAAGGCUUUCGGGUCGUAAAACUCUGUUGUUAGGGAAGAACAAGUGCUAGUUGAAUAAGCUGGCACCUUGACGGUACCUAACCAGAAAGCCACGGCUAACUACGUGCCAGCAGCCGCGGUAAUACGUAGGUGGCAAGCGUUAUCCGGAAUUAUUGGGCGUAAAGCGCGCGCAGGUGGUUUCUUAAGUCUGAUGUGAAAGCCCACGGCUCAACCGUGGAGGGUCAUUGGAAA
rnacentral:rRNA from 1 species